CAGUCGCCACGGUAAUACGGAGGGGGCUAGCGUUGUUCGGAAUUACUGGGCGUAAAGCGCACGUAGGCGGCUUGGUAAGUUAGAGGUGAAAGCCUGGAGCUCAACUCCAGAAUUGCCUUUAAGACUGCCGAGCUAGCAGGUGAGAGAGGUAAGUGGAAUUCCGAGUGUAGAGGUGAAAUUCGUAGAUAUUCGGAAGAACACCAGUGGCGAAGGCGGCUUACUGGCUCAUACUGGACGCUGAGGUGCGAAAGCGUGGGGAGCAAACAGGAUUAGAUACCCCAGUAGUCCCUGUCUCUUAUAU
rnacentral:rRNA from 1 species